rnacentral:rRNA from 1 species
AUAAGCGCGAAACCCACCACAAGAUGAGAUUUCUUUUAAGGGUCGUGGGAGAUGACCACGUUGAUAGGCUAUAGAUGUAAAGGCAGUAAUGUCAUAGUCGAGUAGUACUAAUAACCCGUAAGCUUAUGUAC